CGGAGGGUGCAAGCGUUAUCCGGAUUCACUGGGUUUAAAGGGUGCGUAGGAGGGCAGGUAAGUCAGUGGUGAAAUCUCCAAGCUUAACUUGGAAACUGCCGUUGAUACUAUCUGUCUUGAAUAUUGUGGAGGUGAGCGGAAUAUGUCAUGUAGCGGUGAAAUGCUUAGAUAUGACAUAGAACACCAAUUGCGAAGGCAGCUCACUACACAAUCAUUGACUCUGAGGCACGAAAGCGUGGGGAUCAAACAGGAUUAGAUACCCUGGUAGUCCACGCCCUAAACUAUGGAUACUCGACAUACGCGAUAUACUGUGUGUGUCUGAGCGAAAGCAUUAAGUAUCCCACCUGGGAAGUACGACCGCAAGGUUG
rnacentral:rRNA from 1 species